rnacentral:rRNA from 1 species
CCUACGGGUGGCAGCAGUGGGGAAUAUUGCACAAUGGGGGAAACCCUGAUGCAGCGACGCCGCGUGAGUGAAGAAGUAUUUCGGUAUGUAAAGCUCUAUCAGCAGGGAAGAAAUAAAGUCCUUCGGACUUUGGACGGUACCUGACUAAGAAGCCCCGGCUAACUACGUGCCAGCAGCCGCCGUAAUAAGUAGGGGGCAAGCGUUAUCCGGAUUUCAUGGGUGUAAAGGGAGCGUAGACGGCAGCGCAAGUCUGGAGUGAAAUCCCAUGGCUUAACCAUGGAACUGCUUUGGAAACUGUGCAGCUGGAGUGCAGGAGAGGUAAGCGGAAUUCCUAGUGUAGCGGUGAAAUGCGUAGAUAUUAGGAGGAACACCAGUGGCGAAGGCGGCUUACUGGACUGUAACUGACGUUGAGGCUCGAAAGCGUGGGGAGCAAACAGGAUUAGAUACCCCUGUAGUC